UACGUAGGUGACAAGCGUUGUCCGGAUUUACUGGGCGUAAAGAGCGCGCAGGCGGUCGAUCAAGUCGAAUGUGAAAGCCCCCGGCUCAACUGGGGAGGGUCAUUCGAUACUGUUCGACUCGAAGGCAGGAGAGGGAAGUGGAAUUCCCGGUGUAGUGGUGAAAUGCGUAGAUAUCGGGAGGAACACCAGUGGCGAAGGCGACUUCCCGGCCUGUUCUUGACGCUGAGGCGCGAAAGCUAGGGGAGCAAACGGG
rnacentral:rRNA from 1 species